AAAGCAGGCUGCAAUUGCAGUGCUUCCUGCUGUGGGAGUGCUGCCAUUUUCCUGCUGAGAGCAACUCUGUUAACACUGUCUCUGCUUUCACCCGCACCGUGGUGAAAGCAUUUGUUCUUAACAUGGACAAGU
ensembl:snoRNA